rnacentral:tRNA from 1 species
CGAGGUGUAGCGCAGUCUGGUCAGCGCAUCUGUUUUGGAGAGAUGGGUUCGAAUCCUUUCACCUUGG